rnacentral:rRNA from 1 species
AACGAACGCUGGCGGCGUGCCUAACACAUGCAAGUCGAGCGCGAAAGUUCCUUCGGGAGCUAGUAGAGCGGCGGACGGGUGAGUAACGCGUAGGAACGUAUCCAGAGGUGGGGGACAACCCCGGGAAACUGGGGCUAAUACCGCAUAUGGGCUGAGGCCCAAAGCAGUGAUGCGCCUUUGGAGCGGCCUGCGUCCGAUUAGGUUGUUGGUGGGGUAAUGGCCUACCAAGCCUGCGAUCGGUAGCUGGUCUGAGAGGAUGAUCAGCCACACUGGGACUGAGACACGGCCCAGACUCCUACGGGAGGCAG